rnacentral:tRNA from 1 species
GAGGAAAUAAAAUUAAAGCUGCUAACUUUAAUUCGAGUAUUAACUUAUUCUUUCCUCU